rnacentral:tRNA from 1 species
GAGGACAUAGCUCAAGCCUAGAGCACAUGCUUGGUAUGCAUGAGGUCCCAGGUUCGAUCCCCAGUACCUCU